rnacentral:rRNA from 1 species
CCUACGGGUGGCAGCAGUGGGGAAUAUUGGACAAUGGGCGAAAGCCUGAUCCAGCCAUGCCGCGUGUGUGAAGAAGGCCUUCGGGUUGUAAAGCACUUUCAGUGGGGAAGAAAGCCUUGGGGCUAAUACCCUCGAGGAAGGACAUCACCCACAGAAGAAGCACCGGCUAACUCCGUGCCAGCAGCCGCGGUAAUACGGAGGGUGCGAGCGUUAAUCGGAAUUACUGGGCGUAAAGCGCGCGUAGGCGGUCUGAUAAGCCGGUUGUGAAAGCCCGGGGCUCAACCUGGGAACGGCAUCCGGAACUGUCAGGCUAGAGUGCAGGAGAGGAAGGUAGAAUUCCCGGUGUAGCGGUGAAAUGCGUAGAGAUCGGGAGGAAUACCAGUGGCGAAGGCGGCCUUCUGGACUGACACUGACGCUGAGGUGCGAAAGCGUGGGUAGCAAACAGGACUAGAUACCCCAGUAGUC